GACGAACGCUGGCGGCGUGCUUAACACAUGCAAGUCGAACGGAAAGGCCCUGCUUUUGUGGGGUGCUCGAGUGGCGAACGGGUGAGUAACACGUGAGUAACCUGCCCUUGACUUUGGGAUAACUUCAGGGAACUGGGGCUAAUACCGGAUAGGAGCUCCUGCUGCAUGGUGGGGGUUGGAAAGUUUCGGCGGUUGGGGAUGGACUCGCGGCUUAUCAGCUUGUUGGUGGGGUAGUGGCUUACCAAGGCUUUGGCGGGUAGCCGGCCUGAGAGGGUGACCGGCCACAUUGGGACUGGGAUCCGGCCCAGACGCCUACGGGAGGCAGCAGGGGGGAAUAUUGCACAAUGGGCGGAAGCCUAAUGCAGCAACGCCGCGUGCGGGAUGACGGCCUUCGGGUUGUAAACCGCUUUCGCCUGUGACGAAGCGUGAGUGACGGUAAUGGGUAAAGAAGCACCGGCUAACUACGUGCCAGCAGCCGCCGUAA
rnacentral:rRNA from 1 species